rnacentral:lncRNA from 1 species
CAUGGACAUCAUUUAAAUUUGAGGAUUUAUUUCACAAGAAUGGAAAGUUAAUGACUGGACUUUAUUUAAAACAUAAAAAGAGGGACUUGACUUGCAAUUAUUCAAUAAUUAUUCAUUGAAUAUCAUCUAUAUUACCCAUUUUCUCAUAUUUUUUGGGGGGAAAAUGAGAGAAGGCCCGAGAGAACCAGAGAGAGAAGAAAAGAGAAGGGAAGAAGAAGAAGAAGAAAAAGAAAGAAGAAAGAAGAUGGUUUCAAGCUAGGGUUUUCAAGUUCUUCAAUUUCUCUUUGAUUUAGCAUGAUAAGUAUAAAGUAUAUUGAAUUAAAUUUUUUAAGGGAUAUGGACAAUUUGCUUUAAUUCAAAGUUUAGCAAGAAAUAUGUGUUAUUGAUAUGUAUUUGAUGUUAUAAAUAAAGAUAUAGCAAAGAAAUGUUUAUUUGGAUAUUGAUGUUGAAGAAAGUGGAAACUUUGGAAAUAGGUUUGUGAGAUAAAGGCAUAUUCUUUGAAAUUUUUGUGAUUAUAUGAUG